GGAUGGUUGGCCGAGUGGUCUAUGGCGGCAGUUUUAAGAAGUGAUUCUGAACACUGUUAUCGAGAGAUGCGAGGGUUCAAACCCCUCACCAUCCA